AUGGAGGGAGUACACAGCUGGGUUCGUGAACGGAUGAUGGCACUGGGUUGGUUGUAUCGCGAGUUUGGUGGUGAUAGUUGUGAGGUAGUAAUGGUGGGAUACGAUGGAGAGGUUAUUGCUGACCGGAAAUUGACAGAAAGGAAGGUGAAGCUGGAAUUGAAGAGAAGAAGGAGUAUUGAGCACAGUGAGAUAAUAGAUGGGUGGUGA